rfam:Erwinia carotovora subsp. atroseptica SCRI1043, complete genome
GCCCGGGUGGUGAAAUCGGUAGACACAAGGGAUUUAAAAUCCCUCGGCGUUCGCGCUGUGCGGGUUCAAGUCCCGCCCCGGGCA